UUUUAGCCCAGAUAGAAAUGGAAACUUUGCUCGAAAAAAUGAUAUUGUUUUCUUGGAAAAAAGAGCGACCAGAGGAAGCUCCUUUUUUGUAAUGAAAACAAAUCAUUUUGAGAAAAAGUUGUAAUGUAUAGCUGGAUUAGCU
rnacentral:sRNA from 1 species